AACGAACGCUGGCGGCAUGCCUAACACAUGCAAGUCGAACGAACCCUUCGGGGUUAGUGGCGCACGGGUGCGUAACGCGUGGGAAUCUGCCCUUUGCUUCGGAAUAACUCAGGGAAACUUGUGCUAAUACCGGAUGAUGUCUUCGGACCAAAGAUUUAUCGGCAAGGGAUGAGCCCGCGUAGGAUUAGGUAGUUGGUGGGGUAAAGGCCUACCAAGCCGACGAUCCUUAGCUGGUCUGAGAGGAUGAUCAGCCACACUGGGACUGAGACACGGCCCAGACUCCUACGGGAGGCAGCAGUGGGGAAUAUUGGACAAUGGGCGCAAGCCUGAUCCAGCAAUGCCGCGUGAAUGAUGAAGGCCCUCGGGUCGUAAAGCUCUUUUACCAGGGAUGAUAAUGACAGUACCUGGAGAAUAAGCUCCGGCUAACUCCGUG
rnacentral:rRNA from 1 species